rnacentral:rRNA from 1 species
AUUGAACGCUGGCGGAAUGCUUUACACAUGCAAGUCGAACGGCAGCACGGACUUCGGUCUGUGGCGAGUGGCGAACGGGUGAGUAAUGUAUCGGAACGUGCCCAGUCGUGGGGGAUAACGUAGUGAAAAUUACGCUAAUACCGCAUACGAUCUAUGGAUGAAAGCGGGGGAUCGCAAGACCUCGCGCGAUUGGAGCGGCCGAUAUCAGAUUAGGUAGUUGGUGGGGUAAAGGCCCACCAAGCCAACGAUCUGUAGCUGGUCUGAGAGGACGACCAGCCACACUGGAACUGAGACACGGUCCAGACUCCUACGGGAGGCAGCAGUGGGGAAUUUUGGACAAUGGGCGAAAGCCUGAUCAGCCAUUCCGCGUGCAGGAUGAAGGCCCUCGGGUUGUAAACUGCUUUUGUACAGAACGAAAAGGUUUCUACUAAUACUAGGAGCUCAUGACGGUACUGUAAGAAUAAGCACCGGCUAACUACGUGCCAGCAGCCGCGGUAA